rnacentral:tRNA from 1 species
GCCUGGCUGGCUCAGUCGGUAAAGCAUGCGACUCUUGAUUGCAGAAUUUUGAGUUCAAGCCCCACACUGGGUA